rnacentral:rRNA from 1 species
UUUUUGAUUAUAAUUUAAAGUCUAAUNUGCCCACUGAUUAAAAAUUAAAGGGCUGCAGUAUAUUGACUGUACAAAGGUAGCAUAAUCAUUAGUCUUUUAAUUGAAGACUUGUAUGAAGGAUUUGAUGAAAUAUAAACUGUCUCUUAUUUAAAAUUAAAAUUUAAUUUUUUAGUAAAAAAGCUAAAAUAUUUUUAAAAGACGAGAAGACCCUAUAGAGUUUUAUAAUUAAUUUAAUUAAUUAUUUAUGUAAAUUUUAGUUAAAAAUUAGAGUAAUUAUUUAGUUGGGGUGAUUAAAAAAUUUAAUAAACUUUUUUUAUAAAUUUACAUUAAUUAAUGAAUAAAUGAUCCAUAAUUUAUGAUUAUAAGAAUAAAUUACCUUAGGGAUAACAGCGUAAUUUUUUUUUUUAGUUCUAAUAAGAAAAAGAGUUUGCGACCUCGAUGUUGGAUUAAGAUAAAAAUUAAAUGCAGAAGUUUAAAAUUUUUGAUCUGUUCGAUCAUUAAAAUCUUACAUGAUCUGAG